rnacentral:tRNA from 1 species
GGUAAAAUGGCCGAGUUCAGGUAUUAAAUUGUAAAUUUAAUAACGAAGUUAUAACUUCUUUUACCA